AAAUUGAAGAGUUUGAUCAUGGCUCAGAUUGAACGCUGGCGGCAGGCCUAACACAUGCAAGUCGAACGGUAACAGGAAGAAGCUUGCUUCUUUGCUGACGAGUGGCGGACGGGUGAGUAAUGUCUGGGAAACUGCCUGAUGGAGGGGGAUAACUACUGGAAACGGUAGCUAAUACCGCAUAACGUCGCAAGACCAAAGAGGGGGACCUUCGGGCCUCUUGCCAUCGGAUGUGCCCAGAUGGGAUUAGCUUGUUGGUGGGGUAACGGCUCACCAAGGCGACGAUCCCUAGCUGGUCUGAGAGGAUGACCAGCCACACUGGAACUGAGACACGGUCCAGACUCCUACGGGAGGCAGCAGUGGGGAAUAUUGCACAAUGGGCGCAAGCCUGAUGCAGCCAUGCCGCGUGUAUGAAGAAGGCCUUCGGGUUGUAAAGUACUUUCAGCGGGGAGGAAGGGAGUAAAGUUAAUACCUUUGCUCAUUGACGUUACCCGCAGAAGAAGCACCGGCUAACUCCGUGCCAGCAGCCGCGGUAAUACGGAGGGUGCAAGCGUUAAUCGGAAUUACUGGGCGUAAAGCGCACGCAGGCGGUUUGUUAAGUCAGAUGUGAAAUCCCCGGGCUCAACCUGAGAACUGCAUCUGAUACUGGCAAGCUUGAGUCUCGUAGAGGGGGGUAGAAUUCCAGGUGUAGCGGUGAAAUGCGUAGAGAUCUGGAGGAAUACCGGUGGCGAAGGCGGCCCCCUGGACGAAGACUGACGCUCAGGUGCGAAAGCGUGGGGAGCAAACAGGAUUAGAUACCCUGGUAGUCCACGCCGUAAACGAUGUCGACUUGGAGGUUGUGCCCUUGAGGCGUGGCUUCCGGAGCUAACGCGUUAAGUCGACCGCCUGGGGAGUACGGCCGCAAGGUUAAAACUCAAAUGAAUUGACGGGGGCCCGCACAAGCGGUGGAGCAUGUGGUUUAAUUCGAUGCAACGCGAAGAACCUUACCUGGUCUUGACAUCCACGGAAGUUUUCAGAGAUGAGAAUGUGCCUUCGGGAACCGUGAGACAGGUGCUGCAUGGCUGUCGUCAGCUCGUGUUGUGAAAUGUUGGGUUAAGUCCCGCAACGAGCGCAACCCUUAUCCUUUGUUGCCAGCGGUCCGGCCGGGAACUCAAAGGAGACUGCCAGUGAUAAACUGGAGGAAGGUGGGGAUGACGUCAAGUCAUCAUGGCCCUUACGACCAGGGCUACACACGUGCUACAAUGGCGCAUACAAAGAGAAGCGACCUCGCGAGAGCAAGCGGACCUCAUAAAGUGCGUCGUAGUCCGGAUUGGAGUCUGCAACUCGACUCCAUGAAGUCGGAAUCGCUAGUAAUCGUGGAUCAGAAUGCCACGGUGAAUACGUUCCCGGGCCUUGUACACACCGCCCGUCACACCAUGGGAGUGGGUUGCAAAAGAAGUAGGUAGCUUAACCUUCGGGAGGGCGCUUACCACUUUGUGAUUCAUGACUGGGGUGAAGUCGUAACAAGGUAACCGUAGGGGAACCUGCGGUUGGAUCACCUCCUUACCUUAAAGAAGC
rnacentral:rRNA from 1 species